UACGUAGGGUGCAAGCGUUAAUCGGAAUUACUGGGCGUAAGGCGUGCGCAGGCGGUGAUGUAAGACAGGUGUGAAAUCCCCGGGCUUAACCUGGGAACUGCGCUUGUUACUGGCAAGCUAGAGUGUGGCAGAGGGGGGUGGAAUUCCAGGUGUAGCAGUGAAAUGCGUAGAGAUCUGGAGGAACACCGAUGGCGAAGGCAGCCCCCUGGGCUAAUACUGACGCUCAUGCACGAAAGCGUGGGGAGCAAACAGG
rnacentral:rRNA from 1 species